CCUAUUUCCUGUUUUGGUUUCGUGUCACAUGUGUUGCGGGACUGAAGGCGUGGGCCAGGCGGGUGGACAUUGGAGUCGAGUGUUGACACGAUGCGAGGGAAUGUUGAUCUGUGGAUAUCCAUGAAUGAAGGGGUUUCGAGCUACAAUCAUACGUGUCUUGAGCUGCACGUCUGGUGUUGAGUCUGAGAGUUCUGCCAGGUGAGACACCAUUAGACCCGGUCCUGACAGGCUUCAGGUAAUGACGCUCUCACACACUUUUUUUGACAAGAAAGGUGGUGCUUAACCAAGCCUGGGACCGACCGAACAAUGCCAAUUUCCUCCACCAAGAACGCUUUGUUCUACUUUGUUGUGGAAGAAGAUGUCAUUAAAUCUACAUGUCUUGCUGUGAAGUCAUGCAGCGAGAGCGACUUGACAGGUGACGAGCAGGAAGUGAAGGAGAUUAAGAAAAAAAAAAUGGUGUUGAAGCCAACAAGAAUGAGUUUUCGUAGGUUAUGCUUGCAGAAACAAGUAGGUUAAAAUAGUUGCCUGUUGACAAAAUGGAGAAAAUUUUAUUUGCGUACGUCAAAGUUGACAUCUGUUUCAGUGACUGUAUUGAAAGUCAGACAGCCAGUAGAUGAUCAAAUACCGAAUUCAAUAAGACUACCGUAAUUUUCGGACUAUAAGAGGCAUACGACUAUAAGCCACACCACACAAAUUUGACACGGAAACAACAUUUAUUCAUUCAUCCCCCCAUCUUCUCUGGCUCCAAAGUUCCCACUGCUUUACAAAUUGUGCAGCCCAAACCUGAAUUUCCCAUAAGGGUACUAGCCUGUUGCCUCGGCUGUUGGUGGUCCACCUGGCUGAUUGCUGGCGCUGUAGCUGGCCCCCACUCCGGGUGGCGCUGAACCUGACCAGCUGCUGCCACGGUAGCAGCCUCCUGCCCCGGCUUGGCUGGCUGUCUGUGAACCUGGCUAGGUGCUGCCGCCCUAGCCUCCUGCUGCACCCGGUCCUACCUGUUAGCAUGAUCGCUGCAGCUGCCCUCAUCGCUGGUUGUUGCUUUUCUGGUUUGUUUUGAACCAUCUUCCUUCUUUUAAGAAAAAAGACAGUAAAUGCAACUGUCUUUUUGGCAUGUUGAAAUACCAUUUGAUCCUGGCUGUUUGCUCCCCAGAUGCCACAAAGUUCCAAAGUUUUUUUGUUUUUGUUUUCAAUGUCAGGGGCAUGAUUUGUUGGUCCAGCUUCAGUGUAUCAACAAAUCUUCGACUCUUUCAAAUGAUGUUCAAUUUUUAUAAACAAUAUGCAAUUUUCGGAAUUUGUUCUGAAGAUGAAUUUAUGCAUAUUAUUAUUUUAUUUUAUACUUUAAUGUCCGUAACUAAGCAUGGUCCCUUUAAGAGACGCUGGGACCGGAGAGCUGUGAAGUAGUCGGAAGGGAGGGGGAGACGGGCGAGAAGCAAAGGUUAGCGGUCACCA